rnacentral:lncRNA from 1 species
GCACUUUUUAAAAAAAAUUGGGACUAUUAUUGCAAUUUAUUCUUUAUUUUUAUUUUUUUAUUUAUAUAGAAGGGUCUAUUCGUUAUUUCACAGUUUUUAAUUUAGAAAAUGGAUGAAAAUGACUUUUUGCGUGAUGAAAAGCAAAAAUAAGGGUGAAAAAUGUCAAAAGAAUAAAAGGUAAUGAUAUUUUUCACAAUAAUAGUGAAAGUUAAGGAAGUUAUGUGCUAAGUAUCCAUGGAAAUAACUAUGGCACUUUGUCCAAACUAGCAAGGGAUGUUAUGACAAUUAAAAUGUCUAUCAUGGAUUUAGAAGGUGCUUUUAGUACUAGAGAAAGAAUUCUUGAUCUUUUUUGUAGUUUUUUAACCCCAAGAAUGGUGGAGGUUUUGGUAUGUAUUCAAAAUUGCCUAAAAGAAACUCCAAGCAUUAAAAGAUCUUACAUGGAGGACAUGGAAGAGUGUAACAAAUUGGAUAGAGGUAAUAUAGCUACGACUAUUUAAUGAAUUAUUUAAAUAUGUGUUUUAACUAAUUUAUUUCUAACUCAACCAUUAUUUUUAUAGAGCUUUCUAAAUCGGAGUUUGAAUCAACUAGUACAUAGUUUCCUUCUUUCACUUACACUGGAGAGUUGCUCAGUAUUGGCCUCUAACCAUUCAAGCAAAUUAUUCUCGUUCUGUAUUUUCCUUCGAUCACUAGUCAUUUCUUUAUUAUAAUUCUUG